CGCGUAGGUGGUUCGUUAAGUUGGAUGUGAAAGCCCCGGGCUCAACCUGGGAACUGCAUCCAAAACUGGCGAGCUAGAGUACGGUAGAGGGUGGUGGAAUUUCCUGUGUAGCGGUGAAAUGCGUAGAUAUAGGAAGGAACACCAGUGGCGAAGGCGACCACCUGGACUGAUACUGACACUGAGGUGCGAAAGCGUGGGGAAGCAAACA
rnacentral:rRNA from 1 species